rnacentral:tRNA from 1 species
GAUUAAGCAGGUGUUACCACUAAAAUACACUAUCACUGUACCCCUAUUAAUUAGGUUCUACUCAA